AUGGCUGAAAAGGGGAAGGACACAAGGGAAGGCGGGUCGUCUGGCGGCGGCGGCGGCGGGGAUGGAGAUCGUUUUGAGGUGAAUCUGGAGAGCAAGUUCGAGGGCCUGAAUUUGCAUGGGGAAGAGGAGGAGGAGUUGGAUCUGUCCGGGGAGGUGGAGGAACUAUUGGAGGAAAUCAGAUGGAUUGGUGUUUUUAGGGUUCAUACACAGAGGCCGUUCUCGCAUGUCGCUCUGUUUAAGGACAUGCGCAAUGCUUGGGCGUCCGCCAAGGAUGUGAUCUUCAAAACUAUGGGUGAUAACCGAUUCCUUGUGCAAUUUUUGUGCCUUGGGGAUUGGAACAGAGUUAUGAACGGUGGUCCGUGGUUGUUCCGUCGAGAUGCAGUGGUGAUUGAAGAAUAUGAUGGGCUAACUAAUGUCCAUGAGUAUAAACUAGAUCGUAUUCCAGUUUGUGCAAGGAUCAUGGGGAUCCCUGAUGGACUUAUGCAGAAGUCUAGUUUGGCUGAGAAGAUCGCUAAAAAAGUGGGAGGGAACCCCAUUAAGGUGUUUGUGAGUGAAGGACGCCUGAAUCCGGCUAAGUAUCUUCGAGCGCGCGUCUUUGUUAAUCUGGAAACCCCAUUAGUCCGCUUUGUCCCACUAACGCUGAAGGAAAGCAAAAGAUACCCUGUUGAAUAUGAGAAACUCCCAAAGUUUUAUCACUUUUGUGGUCUUAUUGGACAUGAAGUUACAGAGUGCGGGGAUGGUGUUCAUAACCCAGAGGACUGCGAUUGGGGUGACUGGUUGUUGGUGCAGUAUGAUAACUCAAAUAAUAAUGGACAGGGAGUACCCCGUGGGGGAGGGAAUAUGCGUUCAGGAGGAGUACCUGGAGGUAAUAGGAGUGAUCUCAAAGACCAUGGGAGCCAGGAGCCAAUGAAUCUGGAUCCUGGUAGCAUGAUUGCCCCCAUGGCUCGUAAGCGCCUGAUAAAUGGGGAUGAUACAGCGAGUACAAAUCCGGGAGGAGCUGUGGCACCACCACCCGGGUUUGUUAAUAAUAAGGUGAACUUGAUUGAGUACGGCAGUGUGGAAGCGGUUGAUAAAAGUAAAGUGAGUACACCUGAGAAAGUUCAAGUGCAGAAGAGGCUGAAGUUUGCUGGGACUGAAUCCAGCUCAUCAGAGAACACAUCGGCGACCUCCCACGAGGAGGAUCGCCGCCAACAAUGA
rnacentral:rRNA from 1 species